GGAAGGGUGGCAGAGCGGUUUAAUGCAUCGGUCUUGAAAACCGACGAAGCUUCAAAACUUCCGUGAGUUCGAAUCUCACCCCUUCCG
rnacentral:tRNA from 1 species